rnacentral:rRNA from 1 species
ACGGGAGGCAGCAGUGGGGAAUUUUCCGCAAUGGGCGAAAGCCUGACGGAGCAAUCUCGCGUGAGGGAUGACUGCCUAUGGGUUGUAAACCUCUUUUUUCAGGGAGGAAUAAAUGACGUGUACCUGAAGAAUAAGCAUCGGCUAACUCCGUGCCAGCAGCCGCGGUAAGACGGAGGAUGCAAGUGUUAUCCGGAAUCACUGGGCGUAAAGCGUCUGUAGGUGGUUUAAUAAGUCAACUGUUAAAUCUUGAAGCUCAACUUCAAAAUCGCAGUCGAAGCUAUUAGACUAGAGUAUAGUAGGGGUAAAGGGAAUUUCCAGUGGAGCGGUGAAAUGCGUAGAGAUUGGAAAGAACACCGAUGGCGAAGGCACUUUACUGGGCUAUUACUGACACUCAGAGACGAAAGCUAGGGUAGCAAAUGGGAUUAGAUACCCCAGUAGUCCUAGCCGUAAACAAUGGAUACUAGAUGUUGAACAGAUCGACCUGUGCAGUAUCAAAGCUAACGCGUUAAGUAUCCCGCCUGGGAAGUAUGCUCGCAAGAGUGAAACUCAAAGGAAUUGACGG